rnacentral:rRNA from 1 species
AGUGAACGCUGGCGGUAGGCCUAACACAUGCCAGUCGAACGGCAGCACAGGAGAGCUUGCUCUCUAGGUGGCGAGUGGCGGACGGGUGAGGAAUACAUCGGAAUCUGCCCAGUCGUGGGGGAUAACGUAGGGAAACUUACGCUAAUACCGCAUACGACCUUCGGGUGAAAGAGGGGGAUCGCAAGACCUCUCGCGAUUGGAUGAGCCGAUGUCGGAUUAGCUAGUUAGCGGGGUAAUGGCCCACCAAGGCGACGAUCCGUAGCUGGUCUGAGAGGAUGAUCAGCCACACUGGAACUGAGACACGGUCCAGACUCCUACGGGAGGCAGCAGUGGGGAAUAUUGGACAAUGGGCGCAAGCCUGAUACAGCCAUACCGCGUGGGUGAAGAAGGCCUUCGGGUUGUAAAGCCCUUUUGUUGGGAAAGAAAUCUUUCAGGCUAAUACCCUGGGAGGAUGACGGUACCCAAAGAAUAAGCACCGGCUAACUUCGUA